AUUGAACGCUGGCGGCAGGCUUAACACAUGCAAGUCGAGCGGGGAAGGGUAGCUUGCUACCUAACCUAGCGGCGGACGGGUGAGUAAUGCUUAGGAAUCUGCCUAUUAGUGGGGGACAACAUUCCGAAAGGAAUGCUAAUACCGCAUACGCCCUACGGGGGAAAGCAGGGGAUCUUCGGACCUUGCGCUAAUAGAUGAGCCUAAGUCAGAUUAGCUAGUUGGUGGGGUAAAGGCCUACCAAGGCGACGAUCUGUAGCGGGUCUGAGAGGAUGAUCCGCCACACUGGGACUGAGACACGGCCCAGACUCCUACGGGAGGCAGCAGUGGGGAAUAUUGGACAAUGGGCGCAAGCCUGAUCCAGCCAUGCCGCGUGUGUGAAGAAGGCCUUUUGGUUGUAAAGCACUUUAAGCGAGGAGGAGGCUACCGAGAUUGAUACUCUUGGAUAGUGGACGUUACUCGCAGAAUAAGCACCGGCUAACUCUGUGCCAGCCGCCGCGGUAAUAC
rnacentral:rRNA from 1 species